CUACGGGCGGCUGCAGUGAGGAAUAUUGCACAAUGGGGGAAACCCUGAUGCAGCAACGCCGCGUGGAGGAUGACGCAUUUCGGUGUGUAAACUCCUUUUAUCAGAGAAGAAGAUGACGGUAUCUGAUGAAUAAGCACCGGCUAACUCCGUGCCAGCAGCCGCGGUAAUACGGAGGGAGCAAGCGUUAUUCGGAAUCACUGGGCGUAAAGGACGCGUAGGCGGGUUGGAAAGUCAGGUGUGAAAUCCUACAGCUUAACUGUAGAACUGCAUUUGAAACUGCUAAUCUAGAGUAUGGGAGGGGGAGAUGGAAUUAGCGGUGUAGGGGUAAAAUCCGUAGAUAUCACUAGGAAUACCUAAAGCGAAGGCGAUCUCCUGGAACAUUACUGACGCUGAGGCGUGAAAGCGUGGGGAGCAAACAGGAUUAGAUACCCCCGUAGUC
rnacentral:rRNA from 1 species